UACGUGGUUCUCUACAGAAGUAAAAGCAGCCAAGUCCUUCCGUUACUCACACAGUAUAUCUUGACAGCCUAUGGGCACAGCUGGGAUUUGAAAGCAAUGCUGUAGCACCAAUACCACAUUUAAGGAUGGUUCCUCAUGUAAGGGUUAGGCAGUGUAGCAAUAACCCCAUCUGUUGAACUAGCCCUUAGCUCCCUGGCAGUUCUACCUAGGCAUUGUCCACUGCUUCCUCAGAGUCACCUGCAACUGAGAUGCUUUUUGGCAGAAGCCUUACCCACCCUGAGGCCAUGACUGGGCAAUGUCUCUGCUUCCUAGGAAUUUGGAGGGAAUUUCACAAGGUAUUGUGGGACCCCAGCCUCUUCUGCAAACCCUUUAGGCCAGGGGGUGACAGGCCAAAAUAAGGCAGCUGGAUCCAAAGGCAGGCCACCACUUGUGACCCAGUCACUGCCACUGCAACUCCAAGCUGCCUGCCCCAGAACUCCCUGCUCUGUGCCAACAGUUCUCCUACCCCCUACUGCAGCUGCUGCCACUGCUACCCCUCACCCUGGUUCCUAUCACCACUGACUGCAGCCAGAGACACAUUCGGUGAUGAGAGGAGUGAGGACAGGGUACACAAGGGAGGGCAGGGAUGGAGGCAGACAGCACUGCAAAAAGACUAUUCGGGGCAGAGGAACACUAUUGCACCUUUCUCCCCAGCUGCAGAAUUACUACCAAUGUCCUGGCUCUGCCAGCUGAAUGCAAUUGCUUGAAAGGCUGGAUCUGGCCAGUGAGCCAUCGGUGACCAACCAUUCCUGCCAUUCCAGGGUCCCAGAAGACCUGCUGGGAUCUCCCACAAGCUGCUACUUUAGGGAACUGUGGAACAGCUACCCCAAGGGUGUGUGACCAUGAUGCAAGUAUGGAUGCAAGGUACCUGAAACAGCACGGUCAUGGUCUUAGAAGACAAAGCUCCAUGGCUUUGAGUGCCUACCUGAAUCCCACCAACACAGGCACUAACAAUGGCACGGUAAUCGUAAGCUGAGCAGAGUGGGCAGGCUUCAGCAGUCUCCCACAGAAAAUGGAAGGUACACCCAUCACAGGUUCCAUCAGAGCACUUCCUGUCAGAAGAAAGGAGGAGGAUUACCCUUAGCACUCAGCCAGCACAUCACACAUGGAUUAACUUACAGAAAAGGGCAGCCUGGUGGGUCUCUAGGCCAAUUAUGAUGCUGAAGCCAGACAGUGCACCAGUAUAGCUUCAGCAAAAGUCAAAAUGAGAGGUGCUCCGCACUCCUGAAUUAAAAAAAACAAACUUCUGGGCCUCACUCUGGCCACCUGAACUCAGUAUUCGCUUAUGAUAAUGAAGCUAUUUCUGGGUGAUUCAGGAUCCCAUAUUAUUCCCACAGGGGCAGGCUUGGAGAGGAACCGUGAGCUUGCCCCACCCCUCUUCAUGCCUAGUAAGGGAAAGUGCAUGAUAUUCAGCAACUGGGUUUACAACAUUGCAUUUAUUUACGAUGGAACAGAGCACACUACAGCAGAUACGGAUGAUGCCAGAGGAGAAGGGAGAGAGACGGGGAGAUGAGAGCAGAGGCAGGUGGCAGCCUGCGGCAAGCCUCUAGGGAAACCAGGGAGGUGCACAGGCCCCAGACUGCUUCUAGCAGAAUCCCCAGCAGCUUUGUGAGGCCUUCAGGACAAGGGCCAGUGUGUGUCCAAGCAGAAGCCAGCUGGCUUGUAUCAAGUCUCGUCUUCAUCCACACUCCCAGCUUAAAAAGCUCCUGUGGGUUGAGUGAAGUUGCAAAAGCCAGCUGCUCUGCAAAGGCUGCAGGCCUAGUGAGACAAGGAACUGCUUCUCCUUCCUUUCUGAGGAAGCAGUCGUCCUGGUGCUGCAUGCAGGGAAACCCCUCCAGGCCCUAUGACUUCCAUUUAUCCAGCCCAAACCAUCCUGGGAUCGAAGCGUUAUUCUCCAUCAGCAAGACCUUGUGACAGAGAAGGCUAAACCUGGCUUGAGACACUUCUACUCUAUGGCCUGUUUGAUGCUCUCAGCAUGAAGAGAGAGGAAGUAACUACGGUCCACAGCAUGCAACGCUCCUCCUUUAGCCAAGCUGUUCAACACCAUCACCAAGGACGGCACAUGUAGUUUCAGGUGGCCAUUGGCCAAAAUUUUAACCCAGCUCGAAGUGGGCAUACAUGCACUAUGGUGGUUAAGCAUGUAAGAAGCAUGUACACUGGCAUCCUGUGUAUAUUAUGGCUCCUGCUGUCAUUUGCAGCAUCAGUCCUGGUGACUUUCAGGAGGUCCAUUUUCUCAGAAUCAAGGCAACUUGCAAUACGCUCCAUCGCAUGCCAGGAGGCCAUGGCCCUCCAUUAGCUGGCAAGGUGCCAGUACCACCCUGACAUUGGCAACCUGAGGGCACUUGACCUACCAAGAGGCCUGAUGAAAAUAACUGCAUCUGGAGGGAGAGGCAGCCCUUCCCGCAUGCUGCUUUAUCUGCAUCAUUCAGAAAAAAGGGUGAUCAUUUCUACCUUGGCAUGGAGAGUGUUCCCGAGCCGGUCUUCAGAGGGUUGCAGCGCAUGCGGAUGGCAGUGGCCCUUCCAGAAUUACAUGACUGAGUCACAUCAUUAGAUCUGCCCAUUAAGGAAAUAAACAGAGCCUUUGGUAUCAUCCUGCUAUCCAGCACGUCCCACCUGUACAUACCAACGCACCUGACUAGCGGAAAGGUCCUUGUCCUAUGAUUGUAUCUGGUUCAUAGGCUGCAUAGGACAUGGAGGGGUCAUCGUUGUUUCCCACCUUCCACCCUCCCUAAGGCCUGGGUACUGCCAAAGCCGGUGUGUGAAUGGAACUGUGGUUCCCUUGCUCCUGGGAUAAACGGUGGGUUGGGGAAGUGACUUUCUUACAUGCUUCUUCAGGGCUUGGAAAAGCUCCAGACUGGGGAGCUGGGGUGACAUUGUGGGCAAUAUUGAGUGCCAUGUGUGGGACACGUGUGCUUCUCACUGUGCUUGACCUCCAUCUAGCAUGGCUGCCCCAUUACCUGUAGAAGAAUAUUACUUCAGGCACCACGACAUUCUCAGUAGGGAAGUAGUCAGGAGGGGAGGUGAUGUGGUCCACGGUCGUCUCAGUUGUCACUCC